AUGAACGCUAGCUACAGGCUUAACACAUGCAAGUCGAGGGGCAGCAUGGUCUUAGCUUGCUAAGGCCGAUGGCGACCGGCGCACGGGUGAGUAACACGUAUCCAACCUGCCGUCUACUCUUGGACAGCCUUCUGAAAGGAAGAUUAAUACAAGAUGGCAUCAUGAGUCCGCAUGUUCACAUGAUUAAAGGUAUUCCGGUAGACGAUGGGGAUGCGUUCCAUUAGAUAGUAGGCGGGGUAACGGCCCACCUAGUCUUCGAUGGAUAGGGGUUCUGAGAGGAAGGUCCCCCACAUUGGAACUGAGACACGGUCCAAACUCCUACGGGAGGCAGCAGUGAGGAAUAUUGGUCAAUGGGCGAGAGCCUGAACCAGCCAAGUAGCGUGAAGGAUGACUGCCCUAUGGGUUGUAAACUUCUUUUAUAAAGGAAUAAAGUCGGGUAUGCAUACCCGUUUGCAUGUACUUUAUGAAUAAGGAUCGGCUAACUCCGUGCCAGCAGCCGCGGUAAUACGGAGGAUCCGAGCGUUAUCCGGAUUUAUUGGGUUUAAAGGGAGCGUAGAUGGAUGUUUAAGUCAGUUGUGAAAGUUUGCGGCUCAACCGUAAAAUUGCAGUUGAUACUGGAUAUCUUGAGUGCAGUUGAGGCAGGCGGAAUUCGUGGUGUAGCGGUGAAAUGCUUAGAUAUCACGAAGAACUCCGAUUGCGAAGGCAGCCUGCUAAGCUGCAACUGACAUUGAGGCUCGAAAGUGUGGGUAUCAAACAGGAUUAGAUACCCUGGUAGUCCACACGGUAAACGAUGAAUACUCGCUGUUUGCGAUAUACGGCAAGCGGCCAAGCGAAAGCGUUAAGUAUUCCACCUGGGGAGUACGCCGGCAACGGUGAAACUCAAAGGAAUUGACGGGGGCCCGCACAAGCGGAGGAACAUGUGGUUUAAUUCGAUGAUACGCGAGGAACCUUACCCGGGCUUAAAUUGCAGAUGAAUUACGGUGAAAGCCGUAAGCCGCAAGGCAUCUGUGAAGGUGCUGCAUGGUUGUCGUCAGCUCGUGCCGUGAGGUGUCGGCUUAAGUGCCAUAACGAGCGCAACCCUUGUUGUCAGUUACUAACAGGUUCCGCUGAGGACUCUGACAAGACUGCCAUCGUAAGAUGUGAGGAAGGUGGGGAUGACGUCAAAUCAGCACGGCCCUUACGUCCGGGGCUACACACGUGUUACAAUGGGGGGUACAGAGGGCCGCUACCACGCGAGUGGAUGCCAAUCCCAAAAACCUCUCUCAGUUCGGACUGGAGUCUGCAACCCGACUCCACGAAGCUGGAUUCGCUAGUAAUCGCGCAUCAGCCACGGCGCGGUGAAUACGUUCCCGGGCCUUGUACACACCGCCCGUCAAGCCAUGGGAGCCGGGGGUACCUGAAGUGCGUAACCGCGAGGAGCGCCCUAGGGUAAAACUGGUGACUGGGGCU
rnacentral:rRNA from 1 species